GGCUCACAGCCCACAAAGUUCCACCUGCUCACAGGUUGGCUGGCUCAACCAGGGUUGUGCCCCGAGCUCUGAGCCAACUCUAGGCCAAGUCCAUCCGGCACCAUGGUCAGAUACAGAUGCUGCCGCAGCCAGAGCCGGAGCAGAUGCCGCCGCCGGAGACGAAGAUGCCGACGCAGGAGGCGAUGCUGCCGGAGGCGAAGAGUCAGGAGGUGCUGUCGCCGCUCGUACACCCUCAGGUGUAGACGAUACUAAACGCACAGAACAGCGGAUCCACCAGACUCCUGCCUGAGAAUUUUACCAGACUUCAAGACCCUCUCGUCACAUCUUGACAAAGCCAUCGUCCCAUGACAAACAGGAGCCUGCUCAGGAACAAUGCCACCUGUCAAUAAAUGUUGAGAUCA